CCCAAUUUGGGCAUGUUUGUGCUAUAACGAAAAACGAAACGAAAUAACGAAAUAACGGAAAAACAAAGUGAUGUAAUAACGUUAAACGAAAAACAUAACGUAACGGAAUUAUCUGUGCAACGAAAUAACGGAAAAAUAACGUAACGAAAAAUUUCACAAAUCUGAAACGAAACGAUAUAACGUAACGAAAAAAAAAAUUCGUUAUGACAACACUGCUUUUGCCAAUGAAUAAUCUCAAAUUCCUCUCAAUUGUUCAAGUUUUUCCACAAUGACUGUCUCAUUACUCUCAUUACGUCAAAAAAUUCCAAAUUCACACUAUAAAGUUCAUUUCCGUUCACAGUCAGAUCACCAAAUUUUGAACUCCGGUGAUCGGAGAUCAGAUCAUUCACUUGAAAAGUGAUCGUGAUCAGAUCACGUGAUUGGGUGUGAUCUUUCACAAAACUGCGAGGAACAAAUUAAUUUCAGAAGCUGGAGCCGGAGCCUAAACCGGAACAAAAACAAUUUUGCUCCCCAACACUGAUUCAGAGGAAUACUUGGUCAUCCAACACCAAACCACUGACAAGGGGUCAGCACAUUGCUCUGCUGUUUCUUCUGGAUACCCACAUUUGCAGGUUGCCUCGUUUCUUCGGUGGACCCUAUCAAUAGCCCAUGCUUGCCUUUAUUUUUCAACACUGUAACCUUGUAAUUCUCAAGAAUAUCUAGGUACAUAUAAGUAUAUGAGGUAGGUAAGUACUCGUAUUUUUACAAUAAAAAUAUUACGAGUACCUACUAUUUUUAAUCAAAAAUAUGCUCGAUGGACUAUUUUACUAUAAUUUUAUCAUUAAAGCAAGUUUUAAAAUUUUGUACCUGUCCUGCAACUUUCACGAAUCUUGUACAGAUACCUAGAUAUACUAUGUACAUUGUACAGGGUGCCCAGAAAUAUCGAGCACCCCUAAGAAAGUUUUUCAUUUAAAAGUAUAGGUUGGCAAUGGCAACGUGAAAUAGAUGCAUCUGAUUGGUGGAAUGUUAUUUCUCCAGUCCAACAACCAAUCAUGUGCUAUCAUUAUUAUCAUUCACUGUGACCAACCAAAGUAUUUUAGUAGAAAACUUUUUUAAGGGUGCUCGAUAUUUCUGGGCACCCUGUACCUAGCUGCCUACUUAAUUAUACCCAAGUACGGGGUGCGCAAAAAUAUCGUGAACCCCAAAGGAAGUUUUUCAUUAAAAAUAUAGGUUGCUAACCUGAAAUAACAACCAAUCAUGUGAUAUCACUGAGUAUUAUCAUUCACUGUGACCUGUGACCAUCUGAAAUAUUUGGCAGAAACCUUUUCUAGGGGUUCAUGAUAUUUCUGCGCACCCUGUAAAAGUAGGUAAGUAGGUAUCCAAAAUCCAAACCGAUGUGAAGAUAAUUUUUAUUGAAAAAAAUAAUCUCUUAUCAAUCAAUGAUAGGCUAUUACUUUUUGACCCUAUGGUAAUAAAAUGAUCAAAGAUUAGUACUUUUUGCAUGGUAUGAACACUGUGGCCUUAUAUUACGAGAAAAUUCUGUGUGAUAAAAUUAUCGCCGAGGAUAAAUGAAAACUGUUUAAUUACAGUACCAAUCUAUAUACAUAUACGUAUUAACGUCUAAAAAUUCAAAUUCUGUUUAUUCAUUUUAUUAAAGCCUCACCAUGAACAUGAGCCAGUACGGUGUAUUUUUCAUAGUAUACUCUCCUUGUGGUACUGCACCUUUUUGAGCACCCAAGCGCCAAUCCACAAUAACGGCGAGAAUGAUAUGCCCGAGAUCAUCGAUUAUGAAGAUGAAGCCCUACGAUUGGUCCAUGUUACAGCUGCUCCUCUACAAUAAAAACAGAAUUAGCUACUGAAUAUUCGAGCGAUGCCGGAAGAUACCAGUUUAUCCUCAUUUGUAAGUUGCCCAGCAAACCAUAUGAACCGAUCUGCGUUAUUUUCUAAACUGUUUCUUAAAUCGAUUAAUCUGGUAAAGAGUUUGUCAUCUCCUUUCACAAACAUCCAUAACCAUUUCUUAGCAUGCCAAGAAGUGGUUAUGGAUGUUUGUGAAAGGAGAUGACAAACUCUUUACCAGAUUAAUCGAUUUGAGGAACCGUUUAGAAAACAACGCAGAUAGGUUCAUCUGGUUUGCUGGGCAAAUUCAAGGUAUCUUCGGUGUCUUCAACGAUGACGUUCACUCCCCCAUUCAGUCUAUUAGAUCCCAAGCUAGUUACACCUGAAAAAUAUUGGCAAGUAUAUGGGUGCACUGAACCCAGACGUCAAGGAAGCCAUGAAAAUCCUUUAUGAAAGUGAAGGAUUCGUGGUAAAUAUUGAUGAAGAUAAAAAGAAAGAUCAGAAACCAACAGGCGGUAUGGUGAAUUAAGAGUCGAAUUUCUAUGAACAUGAAAAAUCCUUUCAUCCGGGUGUAUUUCGAAUAUCGAUGAACGAUGAAAAAAGGCUGCAGAGGAAAAUCAAGUUCUUGUUUUGUAUUUUUUUUUUCAUCAUUGUGUGAUCUUGUUCUGUCAUGUCGAUGUAAAUUUUUGUACUCUAUUCGCAAUCUUGUGAGGGUAAUAUUUGAGGAUAGUCAAGUUACCACCUCGUUUGAAUUUUUUUAAAUAAAUUUUUUGUUAUUGAAUCGAUA